CUGAAGACACGGUGACCGGGGUCCCGGGGCCCCAGUAGUUGAACCAGUUCUCCCAGCGAGGUCCCCUCACCCUGUUUCUUGCACAGUAAUAUGUGGCCGUGUCCUCAGACUUCAGGUUGUUCAUCUGCAGAUACAGCGUGUUCUUGGCGUUGUCUCUGGAGAUGGUGAAUCGGCCCUUCACGGAGUCUGCGUAGCUUGUGCUACUCCACUACUACUGAAAUACGCGACCCACUGCAGCCCCUUUGCUGGAGCCUGGCGGACCCAGUUCAUGCUGGAACUACUGAAGGUGAAUCCAGAGGCUACACCGUUGACUUCAUGUCCAGCUGAGUGUGAGGAAGGUCUGGGCCUCAUGUUCUGUGGAGGCGAGGUGCAGAGACAGGUGGGUCCAGUGGAUGAUUCCUUAACUACUUCAGUAGAAUGGACCCCUGGCUGACCGUUUUGUAAGACUUGACUCAGUGUGCCUCCCCACUGGUUGUCUCUGGCUUCCUGAACUGGAUGGAGAACAAAAGGAGUGAAGGGUAGAAACUACUCUUCUCUCUCACAGGAACGUGUAUAUACUGAGAAUCUUGAGAGAAAGUCGUGGAGUUGAUGAAGACGCUGUGGGGUUUCAACAACCACAAGGGUCUUUACUCAUGGUCUCUCUUCAUGGGCAUCAAAGGAAAACCUUAAGGAAAAUAAAAGGAGAGAGGAGCUGCUCAAUUAUAUUAAAUUUAGAUCA